ensembl:rRNA 5S_rRNA 5S ribosomal RNA
UCCAGAGCCAUAUCACCCUGCAGUUCUCACCUGGAUUCCCACUGAAACUAAGCAGGAUUGAGUCUGGCCAGUACCCGGAUAGGAGACCUCCUGGGGAAAACAAAGGUUGCUGCUGAAU